rnacentral:rRNA from 1 species
UACGUAGGGGGCAAGCGUUGUCCGGAUUUAUUGGGCGUAAAGAGCUCGUAGGCGGUUUGGUAAGUCAGGUGUGAAAUCUCCACGCUCAACGUGGAGGGGCCACCUGAUACUGCCAUGACUGGAGUCCGGUAGAGGAGUGUGGAAUUCCUGGUGUAGCGGUGAAAUGCGCAGAUAUCAGGAGGAACACCAAUGGCGAAGGCAGCACUCUGGGACGGUACUGACGCUGAGACGCGAAAGCGUGGGGAGCAAACGGG